rnacentral:rRNA from 1 species
AUUGAACGCUGGCGGAAUGCUUUACACAUGCAAGUCGAACGGCAGCACGGACUUCGGUCUGGUGGCGAGUGGCGAACGGGUGAGUAAUACAUCGGAACGUGCCCAGUCGUGGGGGAUAACGUAGCGAAAGCUACGCUAAUACCGCAUACGAUCUAAGGAUGAAAGCGGGGGAUCGCAAGACCUCGCUCGAUUGGAGCGGCCGAUGGCAGAUUAGGUAGUUGGUAGGGUAAAGGCCUACCAAGCCGACGAUCUGUAGCUGGUCUGAGAGGAUGAUCAGCAACGAUGGGACUGAGACACGGCCCAGACUCCUACGGGAGGCAGCAGUGGGGAAUUUUGGACAAUGGGCGCAAGCCUGAUCAAGCCAUUCCGCGUGCAGGAUGAAGGCCUUCGGGUUGUAAACUGCUUUUGUACAGAACGAAAAGGCUCUGGUUAAUACCCGGGGCUCAUGACGGUACUGUAAGAAUAAGCACCGGCUAACUACGUGCCAGCCGCCGCCGUAA